GUUUCAACUUCAAUUUUGAAAAUUGUAAUAAUAGCCUGGUUUAUAUUCAAUAAUCCACAGAGCGUGAACAUCCAUGCGGAAUGUACAAAUUAUCGACUUUUUGAGUGUAGUUCUGCUUGAAUUUUUCAGGUAGUUAUAUCCCUCGAAAUCUGCAGUUAUCUUGUUAUCGUCUCUGUCUAGCCUGGCAAAGACCAUUCAAGAUUGCACUGUUUAAUUAGCACUAAGGCAGUCAUGG